GAUUCCACAGUGUACGGUGAGCAUGUCUGCUUUACACACAGAAGGCCCUGGGUUCACACCCCAGUGGAGCCA
rnacentral:tRNA from 1 species